rnacentral:tRNA from 1 species
UAAUAAGAAGCAAAUUAUUGCAUUUAGUUUCGACCUAAAAGUUUGAGUAAACUCCUUAUUUU